CCCCUACGGGGCGCAGCAGUGGGGAAUAUUGCACAAUGGGGGGAACCCUGAUGCAGCGACGCCGCGUGGGUGAGGAAGUACUUCGGUAUGUAAAGCCCUAUCAGCAGGGAAGAAAAUGACGGUACCUGACUAAGAAGCCCCGGCUAACUACGUGCCAGCAGCCGCGGUAAUACGUAGGGGGCAAGCGUUAUCCGGAUUUACUGGGUGUAAAGGGAGCGCAGGCGGUGCGGCAAGUCUGAUGUGAAAGCCCGGGGCUCAACCCCGGGACUGCAUUGGAAACUACCGAACUAGAGUGUCGGAGAGGG
rnacentral:rRNA from 1 species